GCACAAAGGAUGGCACAAUGAGCCUACAUCUGCUUGGAGAAAACAGAGAAAUUGCUCAAUAGAUGAAGGUACUGAAGAAUGGAAGUUUUUAAACUCAAUUUCUUUGUGGUCACUGUGGUCAAGAUGGCUGUGAAUCACUGCUUCGCUCACAAGAUCCACUCUGUUUACAAGGAGCAGAUCAAAGAAUUGAGAGGAAAGCAAAAGACAGAACAGAGAAACAGCAGAAAAGAACCAUCACAGCAUAAUCCUACUGUACCUGGGUGGAUUUCCUAGCAGAAGGGCCUACCUGGCUUAUAAGUACUACUCAGGGCAGCAAUAGCUGUCCUGUUGAGGAUCUAUCCUCCUGCAGAGCCUAGAGGAUACGACAAAGGAAAGAGGGAUUGCAGGAUGAUGGCAGCUGACAGGAGCCAGAGUCCAGGGAUGUGCUGCGUGACUGUCCCAGAAGCCAAAAUAUUCUCUGACAUCUCUAACAAAAAAUUAUCAUCAUUAUUAUGAUCUCUUGCAUAGCGGAUCAUGGAACUUCAAAUAAGCGAUUCCAGAAUAAGAGACAGUGUCUAUUUAAAAACAGACCUACUCUUGAUUUAAGGAGAGUGAAUGAGAAUGCUUUGUAUCCUUUGAUAAUCUGUUCCAGUGGUUAAUUAUUCUCAUUGUCAAAAAUGCAUGUCUUUGUUCCUUAUUUGGAUGUAUGCUAAUUUCAAACAGGUGUUUUCUUUUGAUUGUGCAAUUAAAACACUGUAAAGAAAUGUACAAGGCACUUCAGACAAACGGAAAUUCUUAACAACUUCUUUAUUGUAAAACUUUACAAUUGUAUAAUUAUGAUAAAACUGUUUUCCACUCUCCCUUUAGCUGGCUUGUAAAGAUUUUUCAAAGAAUUUGGCACUUUAAAACUAUAAUUAGGAUGUAAAGUUGUAAGACGUUUUUAUU